rnacentral:rRNA from 1 species
GACGGACCAUCCAAACGUUAUUCGGAAUUACUGGGCUUAAAGGGUGCGUAGGCGGCGCGGAAAGUUGGGUGUGAAAUCCCUCGGCUUAACCGAGGAAUGGCGCUCAAAACUACCGUGCUUGAGGAAGACAGAGGUGAGCGGAACUUAGGGUGGAGCGGUGAAAUGCGUUGAUAUCCUAAGGAACACCGGUGGCGAAAGCGGCUCACUGGGUCUUUUCUGACGCUGAGGCACGAAAGCGUGGGGAGCAAACAGG